AACGCACGAGACCUGCGGACCUGCGGAAGGAUCAUUACCGAGUGUUACAGCUCCCAAACCCACUGUGAACGUACCCAUCGUUGCUUCGGCGGGACCGCCCCGGCGCCUCCGCGCGCCGGGCACGGGCGCCCGCCGGGGGCCCGAAACUCUUGCCUCCUCGCGUGGAUUCUCUGAGUGGCACGAAAAGGGAAAAUGAAUCAAAACUUUCAACAACGGAUCUCUAGAUCGGAAGAGCACACG
rnacentral:misc_RNA from 1 species